rnacentral:rRNA from 1 species
CCUACGGGUGACAGCAGUGGGGGAUAUUGCACAAUGGGGGGAACCCUGAUGCAGCGACGCCGCGUGGGUGAAGAAGCGCCUCGGCGCGUAAAGCUCUGUCAGCAGGGAAGAAAAUGACGGUACCUGAAGAAGAAGACCCGGCUAACUACGUGCCAGCAGCCGCGGUAAUACGUAGGGGGCAAGCGUUAUCCGGAUUGACGGGGUGGAAAGGGGGAGCAGACGGCGAUGCAAGCCAGGAGUGAAAGCCCGGGGCCGAACCCCGGGACUGCUCUUGGAACUGCGUGGCUGGAGUGCAGGAGGGGCAGGCGGAAUUCCUGGUGUAGCGGUGAAAUGCGUAGAUAUCAGGAGGAACACCGGUGGCGAAGGCGGCCUGCUGGACUGCAACUGACGUUGAGGCCCGAAAGCGUGGGGAGCAAACAGGAUUAGAUACCCGUGUAGUC